AUUAAAUCUCAGUAAACAGUACUUGGUCCUAUCUGCUCUUUUCCAUCCUUUUUCUUACUCCUAAUCAGCAACUUGGAAAGAAAAAAAAAAGGUAAAUACAAGGGGAUUUCCAGUUCUACUGUCUGGUUUCUGUGUGGUCUUUGAUUUUUCAGAAGAAAAAAAAGUACCUCAAUAUGUGUGCCAUCUGAAUAUCUCUCUUUUUCUUGCCUUACAUAUUUACAUAAGAAAUAUCAGUUGUUGUGUUUGCAGAGCAUCUGAUGACAGCUAACACCUCUCAUGCUUCACAUCCAUUUUUUCAGGCUCUUGUAUGUGGGCCCAAUUGAAAGGCACCUUCCCUGCCGUUUAAGCAGGAUCGAUGGAGUGUUCAUACUGUUCCCUGCUCUUCAAAAAUGCUGA
rnacentral:lncRNA from 1 species